rnacentral:siRNA from 1 species
CAAAGCAUAAAUACACUGAUGU